GAUGAACGCUGGCGGCGUGCCUAAUACAUGCAAGUCGAGCGAACGGACGAGAAGCUUGCUUCUCUGAUGUUAGCGGCGGACGGGUGAGUAACACGUGGAUAACCUACCUAUAAGACUGGGAUAACUUCGGGAAGCCGUAGCUAAUACCGGAUAAUAUUUUGAACCGCAUGGUUCAAAAGUGAAAGACGGUCUUGCUGUCACUUAUAGAUGGAUCCGCGCUGCAUUAGCUAGUUGGUAAGGUAACGGCUUACCAAGGCAACGAUGCAUAGCCGACCUGAGAGGGUGAUCGGCCACACUGGAACUGAGACACGGUCCAGACUCCUACGGGAGGCAGCAGUAGGGAAUCUUCCGCAAUGGGCGAAAGCCUGACGGAGCAACGACGCGUGAGUGAUGAAGGUCUUCGGAUCGUAAAACUCUGUUAUUAGGGAAGAACAUAUGUGUAAGUAACUGUGCACAUCUUGACGGUACCUAAUCAGAAAGCCACGGCUAACUACGUG
rnacentral:rRNA from 1 species